rnacentral:rRNA from 1 species
UGGGGAAUCUUCCGCAAUGGACGAAAGUCUGACGGAGCAACGCCGCGUGGGUGAUGAAGGCCUUCGGGUUGUAAAGCCCUGUCUUCAGGGAAGAAAAAAAUGACGGUACCUGAGGAGGAAGCCACGGCUAACUACGUGCCAGCAGCCGCGGUAAUACGUAGGUGGCAAGCGUUGUCCGGAAUCAUUGGGCGUAAAGGGCGCGUAGGUGGAUUUUUAAGUCAGAUGUGAAAUAUGCGGGCUUAACCCGGAGUAUGCAUCUGAUACUGGAAGUCUUGAGUGCAGGAGAGGACAGUGGAAUUCCUAGUGUAGCGGUGAAAUGCGUAGAUAUUAGGAGGAACACCAGUGGCGAAGGCGGCUGUCUGGACUGUAACUGACACUGAGGCGCGAAAGCGUGGGGAGCAAACAGG